rnacentral:rRNA from 1 species
UUGAAUUUUGGAGAAANUGAUUCGGGAGANNUGAUGGUCCAAGUCCCUUGGAANAGGGCGUCGCAGAGGGUGAGAAUCCNGUAUGUGACCAAUACGAGNNNNCCCGUGAAACCCUUUCGACGAGUCAAGUUGUUUGGGAAUGCAGCUCUAAAUGGGUGGUAAAUUUNAUCUAAAAAUGGGAGCGUGCCAUAGACCGAUAKCGCACAAGUAGAGUGAUCNAAAGAUGAAAAGCACUUUGAAAAGAGAGUCAAACAGUACGUGAAAUUGUUGAAAGGGAAGCGCUUGCAAUCAGACUCGUUUGCAGAAGUUCAGCCUUCUUUCGAGAUGGUGUAUUCUUCUGUCAACGGGCCUUUAACAGUUUCGGCGGUUGGAUAAAGACUUUGAGAACGUUCUUUUUUCCNNAGAGUGUUAUAGCUCGGAGUGUAAUGCAGCAGCUGAGACUGAGGUCCGCGCNUUUGCUUAGG